AAGCGGGCGUGUUGCACCUACACGCGGCAAUUUUUGCUUUCUACUUUGACGAUCACGAAACUUCGGAGUGCGUUCAAAAAUUACCACCUGGCGGGAAAAAAGCAAACUGCUUAGAAAACAAAAAUAUAGUUCUCCUU
rnacentral:lncRNA from 1 species